GAUCACUGUGAGUUUGAAGUCAUCCUGGGCUACACAGCUCAUCUAGAAGUGUAGAAACUUAUUUCCUCAACAGAGUCACCUUUUGCCACGACUCGCACCGUGUAGGGUCUGAAGCCAGGGAGAUGAAGAAAAAUGAAGAAACCGAGACUGUUCUUGAAAGCUUGGACCAGGUGGAACAUAGCUUGUCAGAUGCUGAGUAGUUGAAGUCACCAAAUAAAAUCAAUCCUUGUCAAAC